GUUUUCCUGGAGGAUAGAAAAACACCAGGGCAACUCCCCACUGUGGGUUCUCUCUCCGUUGCGGUGACAUUGCCUGACUCGAGGGACUACAGAGGUUUGGCACAAGCAUGCUUUAAUAUAAUUUUUUAAUCACCUCUUGGCCUCCCAGCCCACACAUUCCUCUUCAAAUAGCAGCAGGGCUGGAGGAGAUGCCUACAGAAAAAUGGGACAACAUCCACUUCCCACUCAAACGCAGCUCCUCCGUGAGCUCUCCGUGAUGUCCUGGUGAAAAACACCUUCCCAGCCCAGCAGACAAGCAUCAAAAGCCAUGGAAAGGAGGUGAAAAUUAGAAUAAGGAGGAGAAGUGCCCUGAUGCCUCCUCUCUUGGGGACAGGAGGAUGGGUGGGUGCUUAGUGGCAUCAGGGUGUUUCUCUCUGCUCCUGGCCUGUGCUGAUCCUCCUCCUUCAGUGUGGAGCCAAAUGGGGACAGAGCCCCACAGGUCCCUUCCCUUGCUGAGGCUUUGGGAACAGAAGGUGGAAUUCUCCAGGUGCUUUAGUUCAGUCCCAGCCUCAGCUGAUAAGUGAUGAGCAAAGCUCCCCCUCCACGUGUACCCAUGCACGUGGAUAGACACAGACACACACACACAUACGUGUGUAUAUAAAUAGAUCUCUUUAAAUUUAAAUAGAUUUAUGCCCAAGGACAGGAGGGUGGGCAUGAGGUCAUUACAGAGAAAGAAGGUGUAACACAUCCAUAUGUUCUGUUGUGGGGAUUAAAUCUAUAGCAGGUUGUAUGCAGUGCUAAUACUCCUAUUAAUUUCUAUUUUUCAUUGUUGUUUGCACAUUUGUCAGGCUCCGAUGAAGGGAUAAUGAAGCGAGCGGAUGUUAACUGCAAAUUAAUCAGCCCUGUCUUGGAGUGUCACACAGGUUCCUGUUUGCUUCUCCUCUUCACCCAGGAACGAUAACACACUUUCUGCAUCCCCACCUGGAAAACCUCUUGGAUGCUGUGACAGAGCAGAGAAAGAAAGAAAGAAAAAAAGAAGAAUGAGAGACGUCCUGGCUGAAAAACUUCUAAUUCUCCUUAAAACUGUUGAGUUUGUUUGAGCUGUAAGAACGCUGAGGAAGCUGAGGUCGGGCUAAUUUUGCAAGAGGAGCUUGUUGGGAAUGCUACAUUGGCCAUGGGCAGGUUGGACUUUUUGUUGUCUUUAACUCCUGAAGUGUCAGCUCCUUUUGAGAGUUAAUUUUUUUAACUGGGGUAUGUCCCUGCCGUGGCAGGGCAUUGGAAUGAGAUGGUCUCUAUGGUCCCUUCCAACCCCAGCCAUUCUGUGGUUCCCUGGCUCUCUGGUUAACUGCUGCUGUGCAUGAGGGACGGAUGUAUUCACAAAUAUUGGGACUCUUUUAUUGCAAAUUGUCUUGCUUUACUUUGGAGCUUGGUGUCUGUGAGCCUGGUCUGGUUGUGGUGUCUGGUGUGAGGCAGGAGGUUCCCUGGUGCCAGGAAUCUCAAUUCCCGAGGUCCCCUGGGAGAGAUGGGAGUGGGAUCAGAGGCAGAGCCAGUCACCAGCCCCAGGAAUGCAUCCCCUCAUGGAUACACACUCAGGGUACCCUGCCUGCACCCCUUGGGCAAACACUGGUGCUUUGAGCAUCUGCUUUUUGCAGUUUGGACUCGGAGCCAGGCAAACUUGGGAAUUUCUGCUCGGGUGUUGCAUUUGUGAUGAAUUCUGAAUUCUGUUCUGUGCAGAGAGGCCAGUGGGGUUUAACUGCCUGGCCUCAUUUUGUGCUCAAGGAAGGACACAAGUGCAGAUUUUGGACUGAUCAUUGAUUGCUCACCCUCGUGAUGAUCACUUGGUGCUGUCUGUGGCACCAACUUAGAUUUCCUUCUGGAAAACUUCCUUCCCCUUCCCCAUUUCUCAGGAUGCAGCUCUUUGCAGGCAAGUCCAUCCCUGCUGUGGCAGCCUGGGGAGCCUCCAGUUCCCUGCAACAGCACCAGCACCGAGGCCUGAACCUCAUUUCUUGGAUAUUAAUGUCCCACCCUGCCCAGCUCCCAGGGUGCUUGGAUGGCAUCCAUAGAUCAUUUACUUUUCCAGGGAAGGAAAUACUUGGUCGGACAAAAAUCACCAUCAAUAAAUUCAUGUAGCUGUAGCAGCUCUCCUCCUGAUCAGAGCACAUACUAACCCCAGUAAGUGGGUGUCUGCCUCAUAAAUACAGAAAACUUUCUGUGCUCCUAAAGAUGGGCAUUUCAUGGACAACUUCAUACUGCCUGGGGCAAGUGGCACUCCAGGCCCAUCUCUAGAAUAAUUAGGGAAUGCUGCAAGAUUUAAAUGUGUUUAUUGAAGAAGAGGCAUUGUAGAUAAUUUGAGCAUUCCUUAAAUGGAUUUCUCCCAGCCUUUGUCCCUUCCUUUUACCACCUUCCUCGUUCCAGUCCUUGGCACAGUCCUCUCUCUUUUAUUGAUCAAACACUUGAUCAGUUGAUCAAUUAAUCACCUGGUUGACCCAGAUUUUUUACAUAUCUGCCCCAACAUUUUUUUUUUUUUUGGUCUUCCCAACCUAGGUUUGUCACCAGUCCAUCCUUUUUGAAAUGCAAGCUUUUCACAACGAGGUGUUCCCCCACUGUCCCCCAUCACUGUCCUUCCACACAUCUCCCAGGAUAUUGCCUUUCCUGUGAUCUCUGUGCUUCAUUUGGAGGCACUGGGUGACUGCUUUCUGCAGAGCUUUCCUGGAAAAGCAACCAAACCUCACAGCUUACCCUGUGUUUGGAUCAGAAAAUCUGUUUAGGUUCCAUCCUCUGCACUUGGCUCAUCAGGAUUAAAACCAGAAUUUUCUCAUUGUCUCUUCCCCUCUUUUUCUUCCCUUCUUCCCUAUGUCUUUCCCCUCCCGAUGAGUGCAGAGAACACAUUUUCUCACAAAUGCUUAACUCUGUGGAUUUCAAAAGGGAUGGAUUUUGUUUCUCACCCACCAUCUCCACUCUGGGCUCUCCAAGCUGAAACAUCUCCAUUCAUCUUGCGGGCCAUGGGAAAAACAAAGCAGUGGAGAGGGACCUGUGGGAGCAGUACCAUUAUUCCCAUGUCAUGGAUGGAAGGGUUGUGCUGCACAGAGAUUCCUGGGAAGUGUUCUGCAUUGUGACUUCCCCCUGCAGUGUCAGUUUGGUCCUUGAGGCACCAGGAGAUGACAGAGCUGGAGAGUCCCUAAAAGAGCCAUGGAAGCAUGAUGCAAACAGCCUCCUCUUCCUGCCUUUGGGAGUGGUCAGGCCUCAGGUGGAUUUGUGUCCUCAGGGAGGUUCAGGCUCAGGGGAAGCAUGGAUGUCUGGGGAGCUGGUGGGAAGUUGGUUCCUUAUUGCUGCACACUGACCUGUUGCUUUGUGCAAGCUGCUUUACACAAGUGACAGGGCAGUAUAAGACAUGGAAUUGCUAUUUUUUUGUCCCAUCUCCCACCUUUGCAGUCUCCCAGAGCUCCCAUUUGGACUCCAGAGUCCCGCCAAGACUAUGACAGAAAUGUUUAGGUGCUGUUCUAAAGCUGGGUUUUUAAUGCACAGCAUUAAUAACCUUUCUCUCCCUUAUGGAAUGGCCACCUGGAGGGACGGAAUUCCAGCUCCCACCUCACCACACCAUUAUUGACAGGCAUGGUUGGUACAAUAUUUAGGUAAUUUGGCACGUGCCAUAUGUGAACCACCUGGACACCUGGCUGUUCAAUUGCUUUAUUAAGCUAUAUGAUAUUACAUUACAUACUAUACUAAACUCUAUACUAAAGAAAAACCCAUGACCCCUUAUAGACAGUCACGACACAGCUUUGACCUAAUUGGUCAAUCAAUCCAAACAAUCACCACCAGAGUCCAAUUAACAAAUCCCUUCUUCAGUAAACAAUCUCCAUAACACGUUCCAUAUGUGCCAAACAACAAGAGCAGCAAGUAGAGAUAAGAAAUGUUUUCUCUUCUCUCUCUGAGCUUUCUCACUGCCUUCCCCAGGAAAAAUUGUGGGAGAGAGAAUUAUGUCUCUGUCUGUUCAGAGAAUGUGAAUACCACAGUGUGGCUCCUGCAGCUUUUGGCUGUCCCAGCACACAAUUCCAGAGGGAAGGAAGCUCAGCUGAAGGUGCUCUGUGACAGCCUCAGAGGGAAUGUGGUCUGAGGGUCCUCCUGAACUGCUGCUCCUCCCACUCUCAGAGGGCACUGGCGGCACUUGUGAAAAAGGAAAAGCCUGCAGAGCCCGUGGUGCUCGGUGUGAGGUGAGGGAUUCAUUCCCACUGCUCCAGGAAGCUCGUCUAGGGAAGAUUUCCUGCAGUGUUGUAGGAGCCAUAAUGUGGUUUAAAAUAAACCAAACGAUUGUGCCUCUGUAGGAAGUGCAGGUGAGGAAGCCUGAGCUCCAGGAGUGGUGUGAGGGCUGUGACCCUCACACCUUCAUUAGUGCUGCUGUCUGCACCAGGUGAGCAAUUGCAGUGCCUGCUGUGCUGAGGAGUCUCCUGGAGAGGCUCAAUUAGCAGGCAGCAGCUGACGAGCUGCAGUGUGGGGACCUCAGGAGCCUUUCCCAGAUUAGUGGUGACAAGAGCCAGCCCUUGUGCCACACUUGUCACCUGCUGGUGUCAGAGUGCUCCCUGAAGUGCUGCUCCCCUUGCACAGAUGAGCAAAGAGCCUUCCCAGGGCUGCCUGCAGGGGCCAGAGGUGGAGAGGGGUUUCUGUGUCCUGGAGCAGGAUCCCUGCCCUCUGCCUUUCCACUGGAGAGAUCUACAAGUCCUGGCUGGAAAACAGCACAGCAGCCCCAGCCCUUGUGGCCCAGAAGGCAGAGGUGAAUAAGAUGUGGGAAUAUCCUCCUGGAGGGAUUUCAACCACCCCUGCUAUCCCUGGGGAGACUGAAAUAUCUCCAUCAAUUCUCUUGGGAGCUGUCCCCCCCUUUGCCUUCACUCCAUCAGUUCUCUGGGAAAAAUCCCAUCUCCCACUCGUCUUCUGCAUUUCCUACUGCACAGAGGGGCUGCAGCUCCUUCCAGAAUACGACCUCCACCUAGGGCUGCUCUCCUUCCCUGCAGGGAUUCAGCAGCACUUUUCCAGCUCCAUGGAUCACUUAUCCCAGCCCUCUACCCUUCCAGAGCUACUGGAAGCUCUGCUGCAUCUCCUGUCAGAGCCAGUGUCUCCCAGGGGGUUCCCUUGGGGUCCUGGCCCUCUCACAAACCAGAAGAGGUGGCCCAUGGCUAAUGGACUCCAUCUGUCCUGCCAAGGCCAGCAGCUUCUCUGUGUUGGUAGCCUGAGGCUGCCUUGUCCAGGUGGAAAUUGUCUUCUGCACUCAGGAGCUGCAAGGUGUAAACCCCAAAGCUGGCAAUGAGCUAAGAGAGCAGGAAUUGUGGUUCAGUGUAAAUAAACCCAGCUGACUGCUGUUCUGUAUCUGUCUGUGCUCCUGCCUCACAAUGUCUGUGCUUCUCUCUCUCCAGUGUGUUGCUGCAGAGGCUCCAGUUUGAAGUUCAGGGUGAAAGAAUUCCAAAAGCUGUCCCAGGGAAAGCUCCUGUGAACUCCUGGAGAGGGGAUCAGAGAGGACACAGCAGAUUCUGGGUGUCACAAGAGCAGCAGAGAAGCAAGAUAUCACCUCAGGGUGUCUGUGGCUGUGUCCCUCUGAAGGGACAGUCCUGGUGCUGUGCCCACCACCAAACCCCACCAGCCUGGGCACCCAGGGACCAAAAGGUGCUGCAGCACCAGAGUCAGCCAAAGCCCUGCAGGGGUGCUGAGAGGCUGCUGAUAGGGAGAUUUCUGCCUGAUGGGAGACAGGACAGUGAUUUCAUGGCUUUUUUUGGGCUCUUUGGUGUCUUGUAAUGAGCAGAUGCUCAAAAUUCUUGCCUGUUCUCUCAGCUUGCAGCGUGGGGGGUUGGAGGCUGAGGGAAAACUGAUGGGAAAAUGUUUACAAGCCUAACUACAGAGUGAGGUCUCUCUAAUGGAGGAUUUAAUCUGCAGGACAUUGUUAUCUCUGCUAGG